rnacentral:rRNA from 1 species
CGGCGGACGGGUGAGUAAUGCCUAGGAAUCUGCCUGGUAGUGGGGGACAACGUUUCGAAAGGAACGCUAAUACCGCAUACGUCCUACGGGAGAAAGCAGGGGACCUUCGGGCCUUGCGCUAUCAGAUGAGCCUAGGUCGGAUUAGCUAGUUGGUGAGGUAAUGGCUCACCAAGGCGACGAUCCGUAACUGGUCUGAGAGGAUGAUCAGUAACACUGGAACUGAGACACGGUCCAGACUCCUACGGGAGGCAGCAGUC